ensembl:lncRNA
CCGCCCCCUGCCGCCGGUUUCUGCGCUGGUCUUAGUCAAGCUGAAAAGGAAAGGAUGAAGAGGAGCUGAAACCAAGGGGCCUGAGGGCAGCUCCGCGCGCGAGCUGACCCUGAGACCAGUCAGAGGUGCCUUCCCCUCUCAAGGCCCCGGACAACUGUGCGGGCACCGUCAGCCCUGAGGGCCUGGGACAAGACGGACCCCCUUCCCUCCGCCCAGGUGCCACGGGGACGCUCCUGUGGAUUCCCAGAGUCCUCACAGAAGGCUGGCAAGCAGCACGGAGAUGAGCCAGGCUGCAGGCACUUCCAGGCGGUUUCAAGACGGGAGGAGCUUUUCUAUUCCUGUUUGAGUCCCGCACAGUUCCAAACCCUACUGGAUGAGUCCUACAAAACAAAGUCCGUUCUCAGAACUCACCUCCCCACGCUGACUGCGCCGACAGGAGGCCUCUCGGCAUCCGAUCCCCGUGCCGGGACUCAUCCCUCGUUUCUGGAAGAUCAGGAUGUGCUCAUCCCCUUGAAGUUAGCACCAAAAGGAGGCACCAGGACACAGGAAGAACAGGUGUCCAGCCUUUGCUGACCUCCUGGCCCCUCCGGGCUCAGCGCGAACUGCGG